CACUGAUGGAAACUGGACAAAGAGUUCAACCAAAUCUCAGCAGAAAUACUGUUGCGUCAGUAUUUCGGACAUUUCAUCGAGAAAACAGGAUUGAGGGUCGAGGACACCAAGGUGGAAGGGGCCCUAUGUUCACUUGUGCACAAGAGGCUGCCAUUGUGAACAUGGUUUUGACCAAUAAUUGUAUCAGGCUGCGAGAAAUCCAAGCCAAUAUCAUCAAUGAUGACCAUAUUUUCAAUAACAUCCAACAAGUCUCUCUGUCAACAUUAGGUCGAAUCCUCAAGAAAAAUCAAAUAUACAUGAAGCAACUGUCUCGGGUACCAUUUGACAGAAAUUCAGAGAGAGUGAAACAUCUGCGCAAUGAGUAUGUGGAGAGAGUCUUGCAAAUGGAUGCUGCAGAAAUUCAACAUGAAUUUAUAUAUGUGGAUGAGGCUGGAUUUAACCUUGCGGAAACAAGAAGAGGGAGAAAUGUAAUUGGACACAGGGCAAUCACCAAUGUGCCAGGGCAGCGAGGGGGUAACAUCACCCUUUGCGCUGCUAUUACACAAAAUGGGGUCCUCCACCACCAUGCAAAUCUGGGACCCUAUAAUGCAAAUCUAAUACUUGCAUUUCUUGACAGAUUGCACAAGAUUGUUAUAGCAUUAAACCAAGUGGACCAGAUGCGGUACGUUGUCGUUUGGGACAAUGUCUCAUUCUAUCGGGCUGCUCUGGUCCAGAAUUGGUUCCAUGAGCACCCUGAAUUUGAAGUCUUAUACCUUCCCCCAUACUCCCCCUUCCUGAAUCCAAUAGAAGAGUUUUUUUCAGCAUGGCGGUGGAAGGUACACGACCUGCGGCCCAAUGACCGUUUGCCCCUCAU